UUCACUCACGGCGCCCCGCAUGCCCGAUUUUAGAAAGAGCCGAACACGAUCGAGGAGGGGAGGCACGCCUGCCAUCGAUCCAUCCACCCAGCCUGGCCGCCGGGCGGGCGACGCCGCUGGCUAGCUCGAUUCGAUCUGGCGCGGCGCGGCGACAGCUAGCAGCUAGCUUGCUACCUAGCAUGGCCGCGUCCGCAGCGCCGGGCGCCAUCGACCCAUCGCUCGAUCGUGCCCUUGUAUGCGCUAGAUCGAUGCAACCAACCACCCCUCUCGCGCGCGGCGGGAUCGGAGUAGGAAAACCCUAGCCAGCCAGCCGCGGAAUGUUCCGGCGCUGCACGUUCUCCGCUCGUCGCUGCCAUACCGCGGGCCCAACACGUGCGUGCCCGGCUACCUCCCCCAACCCCUCGGCCUAUAUAUCCGGCCUCCCAACACCCGUCUCUCCCCACUUCUCCCAUCUCCCCCAUCGAUCUCGCAAAAAAAACGCCAGCGUCCGUGCCGCGUGCGGUGGCCGCGGCGGCGGUGUGCGUUGAAGGUGCGCGGCGCGGCUGCUUAGCUCGGCAAGGACCGGUACGGGCGCCGAACGGUGACAGAAGAGAGUGAGCACACGGCCGGUCGUUACGGCACCGCCCGGGUGUGCCGUCGCGGCCGCGUGCUCACUGCUCUUCCUGUCAUCCACUCUCCCGCUUCCCUUCCGGCCUUCGCCGUGGCUGGCUGCCCGUGCUAGCACACCGCCGCCGCGUCCACAGCACAGGCCGGCCGUCGUUUUUGCGUCAUCGUAUGCCGUACAGACUACCCCGCAAUUUUGUGUUCAUGCCGCUCUCUGCAAGUUUCCAUUUCUGGGAGGCUAGAGCGUACGGCGCCGCGCGCGUGGGUACGCUUUCGCGCACGGAUUCCCUCCCUUUUCUCUCGGUACGAAGAUGCUACCUUUUGCUUUGAUAAAUUCUCUCAUCUUUUCCAAGGGAUUUUACCGUUACCCGCUGCUGCUCGCUCCGGCCUUGGGAAGGGAAAAAGGCAUUUACUGCGGCGCCGCUGAUUGAUUCAGCUAUAGCUGGUUCCAAGAAUCUGGAUCUUGAAGCAACCGAGAUCAACCUACUGAGAUUAGUCCGGGGAUGGACGAUCUAGAGGCAAAUACGCGCAUGGAUCGAUAGCUCAGAUCUGCUUACCACUUGACUCUUUUCUUGCCAGGAUGUGCUCUCUCCAAACCAUGAAGUUUCAAAAGAGAAGAUAUCUUUUUUGCCGCAGUGACAGUGGGAGGAUCAUGAUGCGGGGGACGGUAUCGCCUCGGUGAAGGGUCACACGGCGUUUUCUGACCACCAAACCUACCGGACCAGCACCACUGCCAAGUCCUCCACGAUGGGCUCACAUCCCACCACGGGGAGGAAUGUAUUUCUGCGGCCCUGCCGGUCCCUCGACGAAGCUGCCCGGUGGGCCAUGAAACCCGCGGCCGCCGUGAUUGCCACCGCCGUAGCCACGUCCACCGCCCGAAGAAGAAGACCCCUAGUAGCGGUUAUCUCCAUAAGCUCCAUAUCCAUCAUUACCCCACUAGUGUCCAUACUCGGUGUUCCAAUUUGACCAACCGGCGACGCAGCUGUAACUGCCUUUGCCAGAAGUCCCACAGCCAUCAGGUUUUGCUGCGGUGGAGGCGGGCCAUUCGCGCGUCCAACAGCCAUCAGCGUUGCAACGUAUGAUCGAUGAUUUCCUGCCGCCAUUGACAUCCAGAGCCUCGAUGCCUUUCCUUUCCCAGCCGAUCAAAAACCAAGGCUCGCAUGAAGCGGUCUAACCCUAGCAGUCGCCAUGCUUGGUCUGGCCGUACACCCCCCCCUUUGCGAUCCGUGGGCUUAGCACAGAUCGAGCCCGCUACCUGAUCCGAAGCAUACUCAGUGCCAUCAGGAAUCGCCCCCUGAGAUGCAUAUUCUCAGAGUUCGAUUCGAUCUGGGCCGCAUGCCCAAGGCCCAAAGCCUGCUUCUCUGCACUUAUGCAGGAACACAUAGCAAUGUUGGGUGCAAAAUGCCCAGCAGUGGCGGGCAAGCCUCUCAGGGGUGCCCGCCACUGACCUCCCUCCAUUGAUCAUAUACUUACUUGUGGCGGGCGCAGCUCACACCCGUCACUAUUCUUUCUUACCUGUGGCGGCUUCACCUUGCGCCGCCACAAUUGUAUUAUGCCGGCCAAAAAUAAAAAAAGCUGCCAUGGCAGCAUUUUUAUGUGUCGUUGCAACUUUUUACAGUUUAGAAAUAAUGUUAGUACCCUAAAGACAUAAAUAGCACACUUCGAAUACAGUUCACCAACUCUCUACUGUUAUCUACACACUACAUUACAAUAAGUGCAUACAACAUAUGUAUGUUCAAUAAAGUGCUAACUAGUACCAUAAAGCAGUGCUUAUAUAUAUGACAUCUGGAUCACCAUCGGACUAUACAUAUUAUGGUGAUUGCGGGACAUCAUACCAAAGAUAGAUUUUGCUCUUGCGGCUCCUCAAAUUCAUGAAGAAAUUGUAAGAACGCCUCCCAGCUUGCAUCCUUAACUCUGUGGCAAUUUGAACCAAAUUUGCACCAUGGAAAUAGGUUCUCCCUCCCUCGUUGGUGACAAUGAGGGUCAAGGGUAUGCCAUUUUUAACAGUAUCAUGUCAAACUGAACUGUGCCGUCCACGUCGAUGGCAAGUUGGCCACACGCAUGAACUCGGCCCUUCGCCAACAAGGGAAAUGUUGAGCAUGAUAAAAAGAAAAAAUAUAUUAGACAAUUGUGGGGCAACAUUACAAAGCCAUAAGUUAGAACACAAAAUUGAAUGUAACAUAUUGCCCACUCAAUAAAUUGCCCUGAAGAUCUACACAGAUUUCAUUACAAGUGAGCUCAACCUGUUUACAUGCACUUAGCUUUGUGUCGCCAUACUAGGGGCAUGCUUCAUUUAUUGCCUAAAUUUUUUAGUUAAUUUUCUAUCAUAUACUUAUUGGUCAAAUAAGUAAAAGAAACAUACUCAAUUAUGUAUCCUAAAUAUAUGAUAAACUACAUAAUCUUUUUUUCUUUUGACUCAUGAUUUUCUAGAAAUGUUAUCGUCCAUGCAAAAUUUUUAAUCGCAAUGAACUUAUUUUGUUUGCUAUAAAUAUAGCAACUAUAAUUGUCUCACUAUAAAUAGAGGCAACUAAUAGCACAUAGUGAGAGCACUAGAUUUUUUUUUCACAGAUUUCAUUGCAAGUGAGGUUAACCUUCUUACAUGCACCUAGCGUUGUGUCGCCAAAGCAGGGCAUGCUUCGUUCAUUGCCUACCAUUUUUAAUUAAUUUAUGUAUCAUAUAUUUAUUUUUCAAAGAAGUAAAAAACAUAUUCAAUUAUGUAUCCUAAAUAUAUUGUAAAUCACAUAAUCUAUUUGCGUUUGACUCAUGAUUUGCUACAAAUAUUAUUGUCCAUGCAAACUUUUUAGCCGCAACGAACUCCACUUGUCUCAUUAUAAAUAGAGUCAACUAAUAGUGCAUAGUGAGAGCAGUAUCUAUCAAGAAACAAUCAGGAGUACUUCAAGGUAACAUAUUUAUUUUAUAUUUUGUAUGUACUUCAAGGUAAUUGUAUUAUAUAUUUAAUUAAGGUGUAACUUACUACAUACACUUAUUAUGUAUAGAAUGUCACUAGUAGAAAACAGGGCUUUGGUCCAGGCCGGGUAAGCCCAUUAAUCUCGUUUCACUCACGAAUCGGGACCCAUGGGGGCAUCGGUCCUGGUUCGUGAGGCCAGGGGCCGGCCAGGCCUCAUUGGCCAUUGGUCCCGGUUCGUCUGGCCCCUUUGGUCCUGGCCCACAACCAGUCCUUUACUCCCGGUUCCAGCCACGAACCGGGACCAAUGAGAUGCCUAUAUAUAUACCCCCUUCCCUGCGAGCAGAGCAAUGGAGUCCUCUAUUUUUUUGGCUGGCCGUGGGAGAGCUUUGUGGUGCUCUAGCUCACCUCCUAUGCACAUGAGGUGUUCGAUGAAAUGCCCAAGCCACACUUAUGCUUUCUCCUCUUGAAACUUCUUGUCCAAGCUCCAUUUUCCUUAAGAUUUGUCUAGGUUUGGCGGUCCGUCCUGUCCCGUCCGGGCCGAUCUCGUCGCCGGCACCACCGUGGUGACCCUCUUGAUCUUAUCUUCUUUCUAAAAGAAAAAAGUUCUUACUUGUAUGAUUUAGAAAGAUAAUUGUGUAAUUUUCUUAUUUUUAUUAUUGUAUGUUAUUAUAUAGUGCGAUGGUUUUGGUAUCCGCCUCCGUCGGCCCUCGUCCUGUCUAUGAUUCGAAUGUGGUAUAUAUUAUCUUUUAUAAUUAUUUGUUUUAUUUAGUGUUUAUGACAAUUAUGCCGACCAACAUGACAUAGAUUUUUUUAUCUAGGAAGUAUGUGAACUGAAAAUUCCAACCGACUCUAUUGUCGAGAGGUUAAAUUUAGUUAAAGAAGAAAACAAUUACUUGAAGGAAAAAUUGGAAAAAAAUUGAGGAGGAGAAGACGAUAUUGGAGUUGCAUGUUGCGGAUGUCGUCGAUGAUCACAAGAUCAAGAUGGAUGCAAUGCGCUUGAAGAUUAGAAAGAUUAGAAAACAUGCCAUUCAUACUGAGGCUUGGUAUCAUUAUGCCGUUGGAUCAAUUGUUACCUUAAUUGCGUUUAUGAUCACAUUUGUUGUUGCACUUAAAUGUUUUAGAUAAUUUCAACAUAUGGUUUAAUUAGAUGCUCUGGAGAGCUAUAUGUUGUUCAAAGAGAACUAUGUAUGUAUUUUGGUUUUAAUGUGAUGAUGAACUUCUAUUAA